CCUACGGGUGGCAGCAGUGGGGAAUAUUGCACAAUGGGGGAAACCCUGAUGCAGCGACGCCGCGUGGGCGAAGAAGUAUUUCGGUAUGUAAAGCCCUAUCAGCAGGGAAGAAGAAAUGACGGUACCUGCGUAAUAAGCACCGGCUAAAUACGUGCCAGCAGCCGCGGUAAUACGUAUGGUGCAAGCGUUAUCCGGAUUUACUGGGUGUAAAGGGAGCGUUGGCGGCACGGCAAGCCUGAUGUGAAAGCGCGCGGCCCAACCGCGGGAUUGCAUUGGCAACUACCGGGCUGGAGUGCCGGAGAGGUAGGCGGAAUUCGUGGUGUAGCGGUGAAAUGCGUAGAUAUUAGGAGGAACACCAAUGGCGAAGGCGGCCUACUGAACGGUGACUGACGCUGAGGCUCGAAAGCGUGGGGAGCAAACAGGAUUAGAUACCCUGGUAGUC
rnacentral:rRNA from 1 species